CUCCUUUGACGUUAGCGGCGGACGGGUGAGUAACACGUGGGUAACCUACCUAUAAGACUGGGGAUAACUUCGGGAAACCGGAGCUAAUACCGGAUAAUAUUUCGAACCGCAUGGUUCGAUAGUGAAAGGUGGUUUUGCUAUCACUUAUAGAUGGACCCGCGCCGUAUUAGCUAGUUGGUAAGGUAACGGCUUACCAAGGCGACGAUACGUAGCCGACCUGAGAGGGUGAUCGGCCACACUGGAACUGAGACACGGUCCAGACUCCUACGGGAGGCAGCAGAU
rnacentral:rRNA from 1 species